UCUGUAGUGGCAGAGAGAGUGCACUAGCUUUAAGCGCUAGAAAUGGAUUUACCCUCAGAUUAU
rnacentral:tRNA from 1 species